GAGAGAUGAUGCGAGCAAACAGCA
rnacentral:siRNA from 1 species